GCCAGCGUAGCUCAGUCGGUAGAGCAGCGCACUCGUAAUGCGCAGGUCUCCGGUCCGAAUCCGGACGCUGGCUCCA
rnacentral:tRNA from 1 species